GAAUGUGAGGGCUCUCUGACUUUGUUGCCUCAUUGAUCACCAGGGUUGAAAUGGCUGAUCUAACUGGCUAGGUAGGUGUCCCAUUUCUUCCUUGCUGCUGCAAGUAUUUUCCCUCCACAAAGCUGUGGAGCUGAGUGCUCUAUCUUCCCUGAAUAUAGGGGAUAGGAAUAGCUGUGCUCCCCUGCGAGAGCCUCCAAACAAGCUCUCAAAUAGCACUUGAUAAGUUGUUCAGAUAUGGGAGAAUAGUUUUUAAAUUGGGGGAACCCAUAUAUACUAUUGACAGUAAUAU
rnacentral:snRNA from 1 species